rnacentral:lncRNA from 1 species
UGAUGGGAAGAUGAUUCUCUGCCACGAGCUCCCUUCGAUCCUUUUCUCGACUCCACUGUGAGCCUGCUAGGUUUCAAAGCUGGAGCUGGAAGAGUGCUCAUUAAUUCAGCUUCAGGAAGGGGUGGAUACAGCGAUAUUUCCCCCAAUGGAGACUGGCGACUCAGUCAUGCAUCAGCUUUCAAAUGAGCUUCCCUCCUUAGAGUUACUUGGAAAUGUCCCAUGAAGUUUCAAUUAAUUUUACUUCUUUUUUGGCUACUUGGGGGCAGAAGGAGAAGAGGAUGAUGCAGAGAGAGAGAGAACAGAUUUUCUUAACAGUUAAUCAAAAUUGUUUGGCCUCACAUGGUUUUUCUGCUGCCCUUUCCACUGUGUUUAUUGACCUCCAACUUGCUAUUUUAGCCAAGGCUAGCCUUGGACUCCUGCUUUUCUUGCCUCCACCACCAGACAUUGGAAUUGCAGGUAGGAGCCACCACAGCCGUUCCAAAUGUUUCUAUAGAACACACUGAAAGUUGAUGUGAAGUGUCACUUUUAAGCCAGAAUUUUCUAUCUGGAGGUCCUCCCCUUGGUUAACUAUAGUGGGCACAGAUGGUCAGACAGAAUACAUGUGGCUUACAGUCUAUGCAAGAACAAGCCAAUGAUCACUGCCCACGUUCUUUAAUGAGAACAGAAAUGGAGGACACUUUAGAAAACCAGUGGAUAGAC